AUGUAUCUCAAAUAUCUUCUCAAUCUCAUGGAGAAUCCUUGACCCUCUCAAAUCCAAAUGUAUCUCAAAUAUCUUCUCAAUCUCAUGGAUAAUCCUUGAUCCUCUCAAAUCCAAAUGUAUCUCAAAUAUCUUCUCAAUCUCAUGGAGAAUCCUUGACCCUCUCAAAUCCAA